UGGGGGAUAUUGCACAAUGGGCGAAAGCCUGAUGCAGCGACGCCGCGUGGGGGAUGAAGGCCUUCGGGUUGUAAACUUCUUUUGCUCUGAACAAGGCGCACCAUGGGGUGUGUUGAGUGUAGGGGUUGAUUAGCGCCGGCUAACUACGUGCCAGCAGCCGCGGUAAUACGUAGGGCGCGAGCGUUGUCCGGAAUUAUUGGGCGUAAAGGGCUUGUAGGUGGCUGGUUGCGUCUGUCGUGAAAGCUCAUGGCUUAACUGUGGGUUUGCGGUGGGUACGGGCUGGCUUGAGUGCAGUAGGGGAGGCUGGAAUUCCUGGUGUAGCGGUGGAAUGCGCAGAUAUCAGGAGGAAUACCGGUGGCGAAGGCGGGUCUCUGGGAUGUUACUGACACUGAGGAGCGAAAGCAUGGGGAGAGAACAGG
rnacentral:rRNA from 1 species